GCGACUUUCUCCUUGUGCUCAGUUAUAAGCUCAAGUGUCCUUGUGUACGCCUUAGCAACCCAUUCCCUCACCUCACCGUCGAUGAUGGCGCCUGUCUUGCUGCUAUACGGCUUGCUCAUCUCAAAACCAUCCUCUCUCUGGGGGAAAGAUAGGAGGCCAACCUUGUCACUGAAGCCGUAGACCGCCACUUGGGCGUAGGUCAUCUUUGUCACCUUCUCCAAGUCGUUCUGAGCUCCUGUCGAGAUCCUUCCAAUCAAAACCUGUUCUGAUGCCCGGCCGCCAAGUGUCAUGCAUGUCAUGUCGAAGAGUUGCUCUUUGGUCAUUAGGAGGUUCUCGUUCGGCACGUAUUGAGCGAAACCCAAUGCGGCGGUUCCACGGGGAACAAUAGUGACUUUUAGUAAUGGCUCUGCGUGCUCCAGAAACCAUCCGGCAACUGCAUGGCCUGAUUCGUGGUAAGCAACUGUCCGACGCUCUAGUUUGCUGAUUACCUUGUUUCUCUUCUCUAAUCCACCAAUAACCCUAUCAAUAGCCGCCUCAAAGUGUUGCAUGGUGACUUGUACUUCAUCGGUUCUUGCCGCAAUUAGAGCAGCCUCAUUAACAACAUUGG
rnacentral:misc_RNA from 1 species